rnacentral:rRNA from 1 species
CUUUCUUUGCUGGCGACCGGCGCACGGGUGAGUAACACGUAUCCAACCUGCCCUUUACUCGGGGAUAGCCUUUCGAAAGAAAGAUUAAUACCCGAUAGCAUAAUGAUUCCGCAUGGUUUCAUUAUUAAAGGAUUCCGGUAAAGGAUGGGGAUGCGUUCCAUUAGGUUGUUGGUGAGGUAACGGCUCACCAAGCCUUCGAUGGAUAGGGGUUCUGAGAGGAAGGUCCCCCACAUUGGACUGAGACACGGCCAA